rnacentral:rRNA from 1 species
ACGAACGCUGGCGGCGUGGAUAAGACAUGCAAGUCGAACGAGAGAAUUGCUAGCUUGCUAAUAAUUCUCUAGUGGCGCACGGGUGAGUAACACGUGAGUAACCUGCCCCCGAGAGCGGGAUAGCCCUGGGAAACUGGGAUUAAUACCGCAUAGUAUCGAAAGAUUAAAGCAGCAAUGCGCUUGGGGAUGGGCUCGCGGCCUAUUAGUUAGUUGGUGAGGUAACGGCUCACCAAGGCGAUGACGGGUAGCCGGUCUGAGAGGAUGUCCGGCCACACUGGAACUGAGACACGGUCCAGACACCUACGGGUGGCAGCAGUCGAGAAUCAUUCACAAUGGGGGAAACCCUGAUGGUGCGACGCCGCGUGGGGGAAUGAAGGUCUUCGGAUUGUAAACCCCUGUCAUGUGGGAGCAAAUUAAAAAGAUAGUACCACAAGAGGAAGAGACGGCUAACUCUGUGCCAGCAGCCGCGGUAAUACAGAGGUCUCAAGCGUUGUUCGGAAUCACUGGGCGUAAAGCGUGCGUAGGCUGUUUCGUAAGUCGUGUGUGAAAGGCGCGGGCUCAACCCGCGGACGGCACAUGAUACUGCGAGACUAGAGUAAUGGAGGGGGAACCGGAAUUCUCGGUGUAGCAGUGAAAUGCGUAGAUAUCGAGAGGAACACUCGUGGCGAAGGCGGGUUCCUGGACAUUAACUGACGCUGAGGCACGAAGGCCAGGGGAGCGAAAGGGAUUAGAUACCCCUGUAGUCCUGGCAGUAAACGGUGCACGCUUGGUGUGCGGGGAAUCGACCCCCUGCGUGCCGGAGCUAACGCGUUAAGCGUGCCGCCUGGGGAGUGCGGUCGCAAGAUUAAAACUCAAAGAAAUUGACGGGGACCCGCACAAGCGGUGGAGUAUGUGGCUUAAUUCGAUGCAACGCGAAGAACCUUACCUGGGCUUGACAUGUAAUGAACAACAUGUGAAAGCAUGCGACUCUUCGGAGGCGUUACACAGGUGCUGCAUGGCCGUCGUCAGCUCGUGUCGUGAGAUGUUUGGUUAAGUCCAGCAACGAGCGCAACCCCUGUUGCCAGUUACCAGCACGUGAAGGUGGGGACUCUGGCGAGACUGCCCAGAUCAACUGGGAGGAAGGUGGGGACGACGUCAGGUCAGUAUGGCCCUUAUGCCCAGGGCUGCACACGUACUACAAUGCCCAGUACAGAGGGGGCCGAAGCCGCGAGGCGGAGGAAAUCCUGAAAACUGGGCCCAGUUCGGACUGUAGGCUGCAACCCGCCUACACGAAGCCGGAAUCGCUAGUAAUGGCGCAUCAGCUACGGCGCCGUGAAUACGUUCCCGGGUCUUGUACACACCGCCCGUCACAUCAUGGAAGCCGGUCGCACCCGAAGUAUCUGAAGCCAACCGCAAGGAGGCAGGGUCCUAAGGUGAGACUGGUAACUGGGAUG